GCCCGUACCGUAAACCGACACAGGUGGGUGGGAUGAGUAUUCUAAGGCGCGUGGAAGAACUCUCUUCAAGGAACUCUGCAAAAUAGCACCGUAUCUUCGGUAUAAGGUGUGCCUAACUUUGUGAAGGAUUUACUCCGUAAGCAUUGAAGGUUACAACAAAGAGUCCCUCCCGACUGUUUACCAAAAACACAGCACUCUGCUAACUCGUAAGAGGAUGUAUAGGGUGUGACGCCUGCCCGGUGCUCGAAGGUUAAUUGAUGACGUUAGCUCUGCGAAGCGUUUGAUCGAAGCCCGAGUAAACGGCGGCCGUAACUAUAACGGUCCUAAGGUAGCGAAAUUCCUUGUCGAUUAAAUAUCGACCUGCAUGAAUGGCGUAACGAGAUGGGAGCUGUCUCGAAGAGGGAUCCAGUGAAAUUGUAGUGGAGGUGAAAAUUCCUCCUACCCGCGGCAAGACGGAAAGACCCCGUGGACCUUUACUACAGCUUGACACUGCUAUUGGGAUAAAAAUGUGCAGGAUAGGUGGGAGGCUUUGAUCCAUAGACGCCAGUUUAUGGUGAGCCAUUGUUGAGAUACCACUCUUUUUUAUUCUGAUAGCUAACUAGCUUGAGUUAUCCUCAAGUAGGACAAUGUCUGGUGGGUAGUUUGACUGGGGCGGUCGCCUCCCAAAAUGUAACGGAGGCUUACAAAGGUUGGCUCAGAACGGUUGGAAAUCGUUCGUAGAGUAUAAAGGCAUAAGCCAGCUUAACUGCGAGACAUACACGUCAAGCAGAGACGAAAGUCGGUCUUAGUGAUCCGGUGGUUCUGUGUGGAAGGGCCAUCGCUCAAAGGAUAAAAGGUACCCCGGGGAUAACAGGCUGAUCUCCCCCAAGAGCUCACAUCGACGGGGAGGUUUGGCACCUCGAUGUCGGCUCAUCGCAUCCUGGGGCUGAAGUCGGUCCCAAGGGUUGGGCUGUUCGCCCAUUAAAGCGGUACGCGAGCUGGGUUCAGAACGUCGUGAGACAGUUCGGUCCCUAUCUGCCGUGGGCGUAAGAAGAUUGAGGAGAGUUGACCCUAGUACGAGAGGACCGGGUUGAACCGACCACUGGUGUACC
rnacentral:rRNA from 1 species